GCCACACAGCAUCUGCUUAGAAGUGCAUCUUCCGGGGGGCAGAGGCAGGAGGAAGGACGCAUCCUCCAGUGAGUGGCUGUCUCUCAAAGGCAAGCCAGGUUGUGACCUUGUUUUCCGGAAAGAAUGGCAAUGACAAAUCACUUCACACAAGCGCCAGCCUGUGGGUCAUGUACAUCAGGCUGCAGAAUCGUCCCUCACCAUCACACCUGGUGUGUAGCAGGGGGCUUUCCCACUGGGCUCCUUUGGCUUUCCCAGAAUCUGUCUCUAUUCCCUCAGAGCUCAUUAUGAAAAAGAAAAGUGAUGAGAAACAUAUUGGCAAGGAAACGUCAGUGUACUUCUGGAACGUUACUGGGCCCAGGAGGAGGCUGCCCCGUGGACGAUGGGACUGGUGCUCAUGAAUCACAGCAAGAUCCUAUCAAAGUCUCCAGAGAACUGGGAAGUUCAAGGAGCCACUGAGCUCUCAGAAGUGUAAUGUUCUUUCCAGAAGAUAAUUAGUAAUUUUUUCUAAAUCCUUAACAAGUCUUUACCAAGUGGAAAAUUAAAGAUGCUAUCUAAUGUGA